rnacentral:snoRNA from 1 species
CCACUCGGCGAAGAAGACCUGGUGGCCUACAUCAUCAACGGAUUAGAUUCUGAUUAUGGUCCUGUUGUUGAGGCAUUGGUGGCUAAAUCUGAACCAGUCACUGUGUCUCAAAUUUACUCACAACUUCUGAAUUUUGAGA